GGGGUAUAGCUCAAUGGUAGAGCAUUCUACUGCAGAUCGAGAGAUCUCCGGUUCAAAUCCGGGUGUCCUUCUUCA